AGGAAAGUAGGGGAUCGUAAGACCUUGCGCUUUUGGAGCGGCCGAUGUCUGAUUAGCUAGUUGGUGAGGUAAAGGCUUACCAAGGCUUCGAUCAGUAGCUGGUCUGAGAGGACGACCAGCCACACUGGGACUGAGACACGGCCCAGACUCCUACGGGAGGCAGCAGUGGGGAAUUUUGGACAAUGGGGGCAACCCUGAUCCAGCCAUGCCGCGUGAGUGAAGAAGGCCUUCGGGUUGUAAAGCUCUUUCAGCCGGAACGAAAAGGUUACGGUUAAUACCCGUGACUAAUGACGGUACCGGAAGAAGAAGCACCGGCUAACUACGUGCCAGCAGCCGCGGUAAUACGUAGGGUGCGAGCGUUAAUCGGAAUUACUGGGCGUAAAGCGUGCGCAGGCGGUUUUGUAAGUCAGAUGUGAAAUCCCCGGGCUUAACCUGGGAACUGCGUUUGAAACUACAAAGCU
rnacentral:rRNA from 1 species